AGUUGUAGGAUUAUUUGAUGCGGUUUUACAAUGCCCAUCCGAGUUUCAAACUAUUGUAAACGCGAACACAGUUAAACGUAGAAAAUGUCAAAAUGGGUACAUGUCGACGAAUUUUUAAAUUAAAGGAUUCAAAAAAUUUGCAGAAAGAGAAAUGAUACAAGAACUAGAUGUUUCACUACCCCCUAAAAAAAAAAAGCUGACGUCCCAGGUAACAAAUUAGACCAUUGAAGAACCGCUUAGAAGAGGGUAGUUUAACAGCAAAAAUUAUCAUCAAUGAGUUAUCAAUAAAACGACUUCUGAUAAUUUCUAGAGAAAUUAUCAUAAGAAAUUUAAAUAAAAACCAUCAUUGCCAAUUUGGAAAAAAAAUUAUCCAAGUAAAAUAUUAUUCGGAUAAAUGGAUAUAAACACAGGUGGACAAUAAAUCACUACCGACAACUUAGUUAUGAAGAAUAUCGUUCAUCAAUUAUAAAAAAAAAAGAGACAAUUUUAUUAAAUAAACGAUCAUUGAAACUUUGUAAGUAUUCGUCGAGUCAUCCAAGAAAAUACUUCAUUUAGACAUAAAUUUCAAUUUAACAAGUAAGUUUUUUUUAUUCGUUUUAUGUAACAUAAUAAGUUUUUCUAGUUUAA